UUCACACAUUUAUUUAUGUAUUUUUUUAUUCAUAUAUACUUUCAUUUAUCUGAGUUUACUUCAAACGAGUUAAGUAAUGUCAGGACAGAGGGCACAAGGAUGAAGAUAGAGAAGCCACUUAAGGAAAGUGUUGUUAACCACUGCUCGAGACUAUAAAGGUGCUCUGACGUGUACAGCUGUUCCAGGUCUCCUCCUCGCGCAGAGCAGUCACAGCGGCGCGAGGCUCAUCGGCAGCGAACCUUCCGUCUGACUCCAUGAACUCUGGAUGAAUGUAUAAUUAUAAAAUAGGACUUUUUAACUUUAUUAUUGAUGCUUGCUGCGCUGUAAAGUGUUAGACUAUCUGGAGAGCAGCAGACGAAGCUUUGUUCUUUUGUUUUGUUUGUAUGUGUUAUUUUCUACAGUCGAUAACUGCGAGUUAAAGAGCGUCUGCAACCACACAGUCCUCAGCCUGCUGCAGCUCUGGACGCCACCAGCAUCCACAUGGACAACACGGAGCUCCCUCCCAACACCUCUGAUGAAGAAGAAGAAGAAGAAGAAGAAGAAGAAG